UGGAGAGUUUGAUCCUGGCUCAGGACGAACGCUGGCGGCGUGCUUAACACAUGCAAGUCGAGCGGUAAGGCCUUUCGGGGUACACGAGCGGCGAACGGGUGAGUAACACGUGGGUGAUCUGCCCUGCACUCUGGGAUAAGCUUGGGAAACUGGGUCUAAUACCGGAUAUGACYACAGCAUGCAUGUGUUGUGGUGGAAAGAUUUAUCGGUGCAGGAUGGGCCCGCGGCCUAUCAGCUUGUUGGUGGGGUAAUGGCCUACCAAGGCGACGACGGGUAGCCGACCUGAGAGGGUGACCGGCCACACUGGGACUGAGACACGGCCCAGACUCCUACGGGAGGCAGCAGUGGGGAAUAUUGCACAAUGGGCGGAAGCCUGAUGCAGCGACGCCGCGUGAGGGAUGAAGGCCUUCGGGUUGUAAACCUCUUUCAGCAGGGACGAAGCGUGAGUGACSGUACCUGCAGAAGAAGCACCGGCUAACUACGUGCCAGCAGCCGCGGUA
rnacentral:rRNA from 1 species